UACAGAGGGUGCGAGCGUUAAUCGGAAUUACUGGGCGUAAAGCGUGCGUAGACGGUUAUCUAAGUCGAAUGUGAAAGCCCCGGGCUCAACCUGGGAAUUGCAUUCGAGACUGAAUAGCUAGGGUGCGGUAGAGGGAAGUGGAAUUUCCGGUGUAGCGGUGAAAUGCGUAGAUAUCGGAAGGAACAUCAGUGGCGAAAGCGACUUCCUGGACCGAUACUGACGCUGAGGAGCGAAAGCGUGGGGAGCGAACAGG
rnacentral:rRNA from 1 species